rnacentral:rRNA from 1 species
UACGUAGGGCGCAAGCGUUGUCCGGAAUUAUUGGGCGUAAAGAGCUCGUAGGCGGUUUGUCACGUCGGAUGUGAAAGCCCGGGGCUUAACCGCGGGCCUGCUUUCGAUACGGGCGGGCUAGAGUUCGGCAGGGGAGACUGGAAUUCCUGGUGUAGCGGUGGAAUGCGCAGAUAUCAGGAGGAACACCAAUGGCGAAGGCAGCUCGCUGGGACGGUACUGACGCUGAGACGCGAAAGCGUGGGGAGCAAACAGG